AUUGUAUAUACCUGAUGUAUAUUCAAUCAUAAUCAUAUUGAAUAGAAAGGAAGGAGGAGAAGAGAGGCAGUGUAAGCAAGCAAGGCAUAACAUUCAUUUUUAUCAAACUCGAACAUACAUGCAUACACACCAAUACAGAGGGCAUACACCAAUAUAUUCAACAGGUUCAUUCUUUGGGGACUAUCACUAAUUCAUUAGAGAAAUCUGAUACACAGUAGUUGAGGCAUUCAGUUUAGUAAGGGGAAAUGGCAUAAAAAUUCCAUGAAAUUAUACUCAUCUCAUCAAUAUGUAAUGCAAACUUAAAGUUAAUCUUUCAAGCAUAGAACCCAACAAACACAGUACUGUACUUGAAUACUUCAAAUUUCCCAAGAGACCAAUUGGACACUUAUGUUGAUAAAGUAUACACAUAGACAGAGGGAGCAUUUUCUUUCAUGGUUUAAAUCAAGAAAACCAUUCAACAUCUUAAGGGACACAGAAAAUGGAAA